UCUCCUCCCCCAUUGAUUCCGCUCCCCUACUCGUCCGGUCUCGAUUGCUGACGGUGACGUGCCGUGUUGUCUGGCAGGUGGCUCCACGGAGGCGGUGGCCGCGGCGGGCGAGCUCUCGGACUGGCAGCAGCGGCACACCACCCUCGUUCUCGCCAGAGCCAAGGAACUCGCUACUGUAAUUUGUGAUCCCUGCAAGAACUCGCUAAGAUCCGGCAUGAUCUGUGCCCACGCCACAUGAAGGAUACGCAGUUCUGGACAAUCUACUUCCUGCUCGCCAGGAACUACAUCUUACCAUGCUGCUGGGACGGUGCAGAUCGAUGGGAUGAAGUACAAGCUCAAGAAUAUCCAUUGGCACUCUCCUUCAGAGCACUCAUAGUACAGUGUUUUGUCAGUUGAUUUGAUCAUAGGAGUCCAUCGAUCAACACGUGCUUCCUCGAGCGGACGCAGGUCUUGUUCAGUUUGAUGUUCAACCUCCGCACAGGCGCCAAGCACAAAGCCGUCGGACCAGAUCAGCCACCUGCCUACAUCCUACCUCAAUAUGAUGUGAAGUCAUUUUGAUUUUGUAAUUUCUCACUUAGUGGUAAAUACUUCUCCCAUCUCCUCCCCUCCUCAUCCGGUCACCCCUAAAUCUAUCUCAAUUCUAUUCUUGUGGGUCUUGUGAGAAGUAGAGAAUUCAGUUCAUCAGUAUGUUUGUUUUUUCUCUUUGCUAAAUGCCAAGCUGAUGUUAAUCUUGUUAAGGUUUUAAUUUGGAUGAAUCACCAACAAUCAUUCAGUCUAUCAUGUGUGUUAUUUAUCUAGGCUCAGUUUGCAGUUAGUGAAUUUUGCCGCAUUGAACUUAUUAUACAAUAUUCAGUGAAAAAUAGACACAGAUGAAAAGAUGACUUUACCUAAGUUCAGUCAAUAUCGAGAGCACCAGAACUUGCUUUUUACUUGAUAAUUUGAACCAAAAAAACUAUUUCGUAAGUUACCAAAGACUUCCAAGAGUUGCGGAACAGGUUGCUAGUUAGUAGUACCUUUUUUAUUGGAUAUUUUUGUGUGCAUCUUACAGAUGUGCAUCGGCUUAUUUUUCUCCUGCUCUGCCCCUGAUCCCAUACAAGUCUUAAUUUUCUCAGAGUAAGUAGAUCGAGCUCCAGUCAAAGUAUCUUUGUCGCCUAUCGUCAUGCCCCAACUGAACAGGCAAGAAAUUUGAACUUAGAUGCUCUAUUCUCCAACUCUCCAGUUCAGAUAGAUACCCAUCAAAUUGCCUUUGCCCUGAUGUCGGAUCCAGAAACUAUCAGGUUUGGAUGUGUCUAUGUAUCAACACUAUAAUUGACUCCAUUAUGUAAUAGGAGGCUUCUCAGUUGUGGCUCCAUGUCUCAGCAAACAAUUUAGUUGUUUAUGUACUGUUACUGAAAUCUAACACGGACAUUUGUAGGGUAUUUAUUCUCUCUUUGCUGUUUAAGUUAGUAUCUACUCUGGUCGAAGCACCUCAGGCCAUCAAAAGAUUUGAUGACCUCUAGUUAGAGUAGAAGAUUUGUUGAGCUCUAGAUAGUAGCAAUUUCAAAAAACAUUUUGUUCUUCAGCUUGUUCCUAUUCUAACUCAUAAUCAGUUGGCCUACAUCUUUUCUGUUACAUUUAAGAAACAGAAUAUUAGGUUUGAUUUGUCUUAUCCAUAGGAAAAUUGGCAGUAAUUCAGUGUAUGUUUCUCUUUUAUGCAGUGAGAAAGUGGGCAUGAUGAAUCAUGUGGUGCAGCUGCACAGGCGAGCCUGUGACUUGUUGGUGGCGGGGAAGGUGUGAAGGGAAUAGAGUUCACAGCAGUUCAUCUUCAUCUCUUCUGCAUCCAGCAGACAUCGAAGGGUAUGUGGUUUAAAUAAUCACUGGAUCUUGAACCUGCCGAUUAAUUGCUUGAACACCUCAUUGCCGCACACAAUGGUCAGUAGCAACAUGCAAACAAUCUUUUGUUCAAGAUCUUGCGAGUCAUGCACUGGCUGCCCAGUAAUGAAAUUCAAAAAUAGCAAAUGCAAAACCUUGUGUGCAGAGGAAUCAACAGCGGCUCACCUUGGCCCCUGUUGAGUGUCGAGGAGGAGAGGUGCUCACAAUGCAACAGUAAUAAUCAUAGUUGUUCAUAUCAGUAGAUAAAUACCAUGAUUUUCAUCAUUUCCCAGACAUGUACGUCAUUUCCUCAUCCCGUCUUGAAACUGUCAUAUAUCCAUAUCGGUCUUGCAAGAAGUUACUUAUUUUUAGACAAAUUAACUCCACUACCAAAUUAGGAGAUACAUGGCCAUCUUCCUCAAAAAUAUGAAUAGAACUAAAUUAGGGUUCAAACGUCUACUUCUCAGAUAAUCAAUAUCAGUUAUUUAGCAUUAAUUAAGGAUUCGAAUGGUAAAGCAGUAAGAGGAUAGGUAAUAUUGAGGAGGUUGAUUCAGCACUUCAUCAGCCAUAAAUUUCAAUAAUGCUUAAUGGGGCUGGCCUCACUGGGAAGAAAGGACAGCUAGCCAACCAGGGGUUUAGCAGGCGUGCUGAGGCUGCGACCCUGUUUGGCUUUGCGGCAGCCUAGGCAUCACAGAAUCGCCUUCCUUGUGUGCGGGGGCGAGCUAUAAAUUGAUAAGUUAACCAACUGUGUCUAUCCUCCCAUUAAUAUAGCUUGAUAUUUAAAUCUACUUCAUCAAUGACACAAUGGUAUGGAAGAUGAUUUCUACAUGUUUUCCUGUGUACUGAUUAUGAACAGAAAAGAUAUAUCCAUCCUCUAAUCAUGUACAUGCCAUGCCAGACAUGAAGUUUAAACUAAGAUGGGGCUGUUAAUCCUUUUAGAUGAUGAGAUACAAGAAUAAGAUUAAAAAACAAACGUACAUAAGCUAAAGAAAGCAUUGAGUGUGUGGCUCAUGGAAAGUGUGCAACGUGUGAAUGGGAAACUGCUACAAAAUCGAACUGUUGACAAUUUUUUUUCACAAGGCAUCUCUCUAAGCACACAGUACUCACCUUAUAUUGUAGUUGGAACGGGGAAUAGGACGCAACUAGAAAUUCAGCAAUGCAGAAGCGGCCACCAAUCAAUGGAAAUCUGAAAUUGAUAAGAGAAUAUCAAAUAUGUAGUUAUGUAUAAAACCGAGAAGGUGCCUUCUGAGAUGUCAACUGAAAGUAACCCACUGAUGUUGGGAAGGAUUUAUAAUUUAGAGUUUGAUCUUCACCCAAAAAAAGGGAAAGCUAUUGAUCUGCGUUCAGUUUACUCUGAAUUUUACCAAUUCAAUAUAUGCUCUCGCGUUUCAGCUUUGGUAUGUGAUGCUGCACUUCUUGGAUAUAUAUUCAGUUGACUUUCGGAAUUAGUUAUACCAGUUUGAAAACAAACAUGUACAUUGCAUCUGAUAAUCACUGAAAGACUACAGUGCACCUUCUGUGAGUGCAUGCUGUGCUGAUCUUUCUUUAGGUUGAUCAGUUUACCACAAGAAUGAUAUAAAUUUGUUCGUUGUUCUAACUAUUGCAAAAUUGAGCUGCUUGGAUAGGUGAAAAUUUUUUGACAAAAAAAGGCAUACUCGGAUCCCACAUCAAGCAACAAGCAAGAAAUCAAGAGCUGCUCAAGCUGAGCUCCAAAUCGGCAACUUCCGUGCAGUAUUUUUCGACCAGAAGUUGAACCAUAAAUAAACAGAGGGAAGCUUGAUAAAACCUCAUGAAUGGAUGGAACCCUGGCCAUACCUCUUCUCCAGGAAACAACCGCACAAAUUUUCCAUUGCCGCUCCUCUAAGUUUUCUGACGCGGUUUUUGAUAACUACUGCAACUCCCUGCUGCUCUGCGGGAGCUUCCAUUUGACCGCUACCUCUCUUUGCAAAACGUUGAACGAAUUGUUUCACAAGAUGAUGACUAUCAGAAAAAUUUAAUUGCUCCUGAGCAAGGGUACCGUCGACUAUAGAGUCUGGUCUCCGUUUAUUUAGAGGGCCAGCUGAAGCCUCUGUAGAUGCUGUAAGAUUAUAUGUGAUUGCUAGCUGUGUGUGUUGAUUGUUGUGUGACGUGGAGAAGUACAUUCGUACUUGCAUAUGUUCUGUGAUGAACUUGAAACAUGUCAUGUUAGAUGCAUGUUGGAAACAAUCACAUUAUGUGUUUUGAAUGUGAAUUACUUUAUGUGCUA